AGUCAAUUCUAGUUUGUUCUGGUGCCAUUUUCGUUACAAUAGGAAUCAGAAAAUGCAACCCUGCGUCAGCUGGCGAUUAGAAGAAUUAUAGAAGUUCAGCAUUAUUUUUUUUACGACACUGAUGAAUGAAUGCGUGAUCACAGUGGCUAUAUAUACGAGUGGUUAUAAUCUGCACCGUGCAUAUGAUAGGCUCACCACCUAUUUAAAGUCAAAAUCUGUUUACCAGAGUUUUUACCACGGUUGGCUAGUAGGGUAUGAAAUCAAUUUAUUAAAAAAUGCAAUAGUUGCAUAGAUAUUUGUUUGGACAAGUAUUUAAAGUAUAAUUUGGCAACUAUGGCAAUGUGAUAUCUUUUGCUCAUCACUAUAUUUAUUGUUUAGAGUAGUCAAAAUUAUAACAUUGGAAAUUUUAUUCAUUCAUAUCUUAAACCACAUUUCAACAAAACUGAUUAAUGGAAAUUAACUGGUGCUACCUAUUUGGCAUUUAUGUGUAUUGUCACGCAAAUGCAACGAAAGUAAUGAUGUACACGGAAGUCUAACAGAAACACUUAGCUUAUUAUACGAUAUACUAAGCUACUCUUACAUUCCGGUUGUGCUUGAACCAAUGUUACCAGAUAACGUAAAAGCAAAUGAUUUAGGCAUAAAGUAAGGUGACUUCGUUUUUUUUUUAAUUUAGACGUUUAUAAACAAAUUUAGUUGGUGGUUGUUUUGUUUGGGGAAUGUGUAUUUUGAGAAAUUUUUACAAUUAUUAUUAAGACAAAUAUAUUUCUUUAAUGCUUUUAACUUCUGAAACCAUUUAUUUCGGCUGCAAAGCCGUUCCAUUGUUUCUCACCAGUUGUUUACAUUGUCCGAAUGUCCAGGUUCCUCGUGCAAUUUCCGAAUGGUUUGCAUUAAAAACACCAACUUCUCGAACUGUUUGCUGGUUGUUACAUUAGAUAAUGUUUCAAAAACAACUCAUUUAUUUAUAUAUAUCGCGAAGCAGUGAGACUAUACCAAGUCGAUAAACAGAUAGCGGUGGGUAAAGUUGGCGACCCUAGUAAACUACAAAAAUCGUUGAAAUCAAAUUUGGUAAACGGAAAUUAAAAAAAAGGUUAUAAAUAUAUUAUUGGUUAUGUUCCAUAUGUACAUACUUAUUUUAGUUUUGGAUGGUGAUUGGAGGCCACUGACUUAUGGGAUGGGAAUGGUGAAUGAUGGAAGUGACGAGCUUUGACCUCUGUCGCGUAAACCACGGGAAUCCGUACAAUCCAUUUUUGGUUGAAGACGCAACACAUACACAGAAGAUAAGAGUCCCAGUGGCGGGUCAUUAAACGAAUAAUUAUAAUAAAUAUAAUCAUGAAAUACAUAUGGAGGAAAAAUAUGCCUUAUAAUCAUGAAAAUCCAUUUGUUAAAAUAAUUGAAAACAUACAUAUUAGCCAUAAAAUCAAUUUCAUAAAUUUUCUUUAUAUCUUACUUUAAAAUAGUUUUAUCCCUUUGAUUUGUUUGCGGAAUAUCUAGAUACGGCAACACUUUUAUUUGCCAACUUUUGAAUCUUUUGUUAUUGUGCAAAUGAACAGAAUUGUUUAAAAUAUUAAAUAUUUAUUUACAGCAAAUAUCGUAAUAACUAAUAUACAUGUGGAAAGUAUUAAUGUUAAAAAAUUGUAUAAUAGAAAUAAAAAAUCAAUAUAAAUCGAGAAAUAACAAUUUAAAUGUUGUUAAUUUUUAAACGUUAAUGGAUAUUGGCCAUAUUCAUAUAUUCUUAUUCUGGAGAAUCUCCUCUAUUCGACCACAACUAUUAUAAUCCAGAAAUCGUGGAAUCUUAUACUAAAACCAACCUUUUUAUAUUAAAUUGCAUUGUUUGUAAACAUUUAAUUAUUAAAUAUCAAGAACUCAUUUACAAUAUUUUCUUUGGAGAUAUUCACGUUGAAAAAUUUGCCAACUAACAAU